GCGCCAGUAGCUCAGUUGGUUAGAGCAGGUGUCUUAUACACACCCGGUCGUAGGUUCAAGUCCUGCCUGGCGUA
rnacentral:tRNA from 1 species